AGAGUUUGAUCAUGGCUCAGGACGAACGCUUGCGGCGUGCCUAAGAAAUGCAAGUCGAACGAGUUUAGCCCUUCGGGGCGAAUGCUAGUGGCGAACGGUCGAGUAACACGUGAGCAACCUGCCUCAAAGCGGGGGAUAGCCCACUGAAAGGUGGAUUAAUACCGCAUGUGAUCCGUUUCCGGCAUCGGAGAUUGAUUAAAGCAGCAAUGCGCUUUGAGAUGGGCUCGCGGCCUAUCAGCUUGUUGGUGAGGUAACGGCUCACCAAGGCGACGAUCCGUAGCUGGUCUGAGAGGACGAUCAGCCACACUGGGACUGAGACACGGCCCAGACUCCUACGGGAGGCAGCAGUGGGGAAUCUUGCGCAAUGGGCGAAAGCCUGACGCAGCGACGCCGCGUGCGGGAAGAAGGCCUUUGGGUUGUAAACCGCUUUCAGGAGGGAAGAAGCCACUCGGGUUAAUAGCCCAGAGGGUGACGGUACCUCCAGAAGAAGCCCCGGCUAACUACGUGCCAGCCGCCGCGGUAAUUC
rnacentral:rRNA from 1 species